rnacentral:misc_RNA from 1 species
UUUCCGUAGGUGAACCUGCGGAAGGAUCACUACUGAGUGAGGGCCCCUCGGGGUCCAACCUCCCACCCGUGUUUAACGAACCUUGUUGCUUCGGCGGGCCCGCCUCACGGCCGCCGGGGAGCAUUUGCCCCCGGGCCCGCGCCCGCCGAAGCCACCUGUGAACGCUGUCUGAAGUAUGCAGUCUGAGACAAUUAUUAAAUUAAUUAAAACUUUCAACAACGGAUCUCUUGGUUCCG